AGAGUUUGAUCCUGGCUCAGGACGAACGCUGGCGGCGUGCCUAACACAUGCAAGUCGAGCGAGUGGAGUUCUUCGGAACAAAGCUAGCGGCGGACGGGUGAGUAACACGUGGGCAACCUGCCUCAUAGAGGGGAAUAGCCUUCCGAAAGGGAGAUUAAUACCGCAUAAGAUUGUAGCUUCGCAUGAAGUAGCAAUUAAAGGAGCAAUCCGCUAUGAGAUGGGCCCGCGGCGCAUUAGCUAGUUGGUGAGGUAACGGCUCACCAAGGCGACGAUGCGUAGCCGACCUGAGAGGGUGAUCGGCCACAUUGGGACUGAGACACGGCCCAGACUCCUACGGGAGGCAGCAGUGGGGAAUAUUGCACAAUGGGGGAAACCCUGAUGCAGCAACGCCGCGUGAGUGAUGACGGCCUUCGGGUUGUAAAGCUCUGUAUUCAGGGACGAUAAUGACGGUACCUGAGGAGGAAGCCACGGCUAACUACGUG
rnacentral:rRNA from 1 species